rnacentral:snRNA from 1 species
UGUGGCAGCCAAGCGUUC